UACGAAGGGGGCUAGCGUUGCUCGGAAUCACUGGGCGUAAAGGGUGCGUAGGCGGGUUUUUAAGUCAGAGGUGAAAUCCUGGAGCUCAACUCCAGAACUGCCUUUGAUACUGAAAGUCUUGAGUAUGGGAGAGGUGAGUGGAACUGCGAGUGUAGAGGUGAAAUUCGUAGAUAUUCGCAAGAACACCAGUGGCGAAGGCGGCUCACUGGCCCAUAACUGACGCUGAGGAGCGAAAGCUAGGGGAGCAAACGGG
rnacentral:rRNA from 1 species